UUUUUUUUUUCUGGUUUCUUGAGCCAGUAUGUUCCUGGCUGUUCUGGAAUCGCUUUGUAGACCAGGCUGGACUUGAACUCAGAUGACUGCCUCCUUCUGCUUCCCAAGUGUGCUGGUACUAAAGGCUAGUACCACUACUGCCCAGUUCUGUUCGUGCACUGAUACAGGGUCUCAUGUAGCUGAGGCUACCCCUCCUGCCUCCAAACUCCCAACUGCUGGGACAACAAGUGUGUCUGUCCUACUAUAUCCAGUUUUCACGGCUCUGGAGACAGAAACCAGGGCCUUGGGCGUGCUGCGGGGCACUCUGCCCACUGACAUGGAGGAGGACAGAUACCAGGAGUCAGGCUUGGGGUUAUCUAAAGUUAAGUUUCAGAAGGAAAUCUGCCGUGUACACAACCAGCUGCAAUAGGGGAGCCCUGGACCCCUUGCUCAGCCCUGGGCUCCCAUGUGACUGUCCACACAGACUAAGAAGUCCAGCUGCCGUGGGACCUCUGUCCACCCGGCUCUCUUUUGACACAGGGUCUCAUGUAGCCCAGGCUGGAUUUGAACUCCCCAUUCAGCCCAGGAUAACUCUGAGCUGACCUCCCUAGUGCUCUGAUUCCUGUGGAGAUGGGGGUGAAGCCCAGGUCCCCUGCCUGCCUGGCAGGUGCUCUGCCCUCCGAGUCCCACCCACAUCCCUCUAAUUUGCAUCAUUUUCUCAAUUAUCUUUUUUUUUUUUUGACAUCCUGUUGAUCUGGUGGCUUGAGUAAUUCCCACAGUUGACACUGUCCUGAUGUGGGCUGAGGUUGGCUCAGGUCUGUGGUCACAGAGCAUCACAGAAGAGGAGGUGAGGAUACACCAGGCACAGGGACAGGAUGGGGGUGAUGUUCUGUAGGAACCGUGCCCAGAGGUUGGGUUUCAUUUUCUUUUUUUUUUCCCUCCCCACCCCUCAUUUUCUUAAAAUCAUUUAUUGAUCUUUAAUUCCACACAUCAUAAAGUGGACUCGCAGUGGGUAAUGUCACUUAACGGAAUUGAACCCACUUCUCCCAAGACAGUUCAGGCUGGUCUUCCCAAUACUCAGGAAUCAGAGGCAGGAGUUCAACUUCAUCUGUGCCUCGGAGGGGGUGUGGGGGGCGAUGGAUUCUGGGAGGGGAGCCGAGCGCCGGGCUGUGGCUGGGAGGGUGACUGGGUCCCUGGUUACACGUGCAUCCGAGGCUUCACACCCCAGGUGCAGCUACUGAAGUGUGCAGUUCGCCGCUCUUCACACAGCUGCGGGGGCGGCGGGGGUGGCAGGCGGCAGCUUGGUCUACCGAUGUGUUCUCAGGCUCAGCCACUCCCACACAGGGUCCAAUGCCCGGGGACGCAGGUAUUGAGAUGAGCCAGGAGUGGUGAUCAGCAAGGGCCCUGGGAACGGGCUUACACUGGCGUCUCCAUAGCAACGUGGUUCCCGGAAACCAGAAACCAGAGCCUAAAGUGUCCAUCAACAGACAUAGUCCAUCCCCUCCGGACUCCUUGGUCAUGAGAAAAAAGUCACACGACACUUGUUCGUGGAGGGAUUUCAAGGCUCAGUGGCAGGAGCCGGACACACAGCAACACACCUGGGAUCCACUCCCAGGAUGCCGCGGGAGCCCUGGGACGCAGAGACAGGACCGGGGAGAAGAACUGGCCUGCGAGAGGAGGGCGGAGCUUCAGUCUGGGAAUGCUGCUGUGACCGUGUGAGCCAAGCACUGCAUGCGGACCUGUAUCGCGGUAGCGCGUUCCCAGGACACCCGAUAACAGCACAAUUUUAACGUGCCUGGGACAGACCCGGAGGGCGACCAGCCUUGAGCCACCUGCACCAAGGCAGCUCCUGACAAAAGUGGGCAGAGAGUAUCGUCUUGGAGAAUGAGGUCUGUUGGAAGGGACAUGAGAAGACACCCAGCAGCGACACGGAGACACACCCUCAGCCCUGCAUCCUCCAGACCGGAUCUAGGGAGCAUCCCCAGGGUGGUCACCCAGGCCGCAGCAUCACGGACUUCCACCCACUCCGCACCUAGGGUAACAGACACGCGUGUCCCCGACAUCUCAAGGUCCCGUCGUGGAGACUGAGCAGGAACAGCCAUGAGGAGGUGACCGUGAGAAAACUUACAUACACAUGUUCACGCACAGCCAUGCGCAUAUAUUGGCCAAGUGCAUGCAAUGCCCUCAAAGUCCAGAAGGGGCAUCAGAGCCCCGGGGAAUGACGUCACAGACGUUAGGGAUCCUUGUCGGUGCCAGAUACCAAACUUCAGGUCAGAAGCAAAAACAUAUGUUUUUAAAUCCUGCCCAUUGCCACCAGUCCCAGUCAGACCCAUUAAAAUUUUUUAAGUACA
rnacentral:sRNA from 1 species